GUAUGAUAAUCCCCGCAAACCUGAUGUCAGAAUUUGGGGACUAUGAUGAAACGGAAGGUCUAGGGAAACCAGACAAUUGUCUCUGCCAUUUAUUGCCUUGGAAUUUCCUGACAAACCUUGGCUCUGAGACCAAACAGUCUGUGUAGGUGGCAGUGAGAGGAAGGAGGGCAUUGGUUCUGCUCAAUUAUUUACAUUGAAAAUGUUCAGCCUUUAAAAUUCUGGAUUUUUAAAAAAGAACUUAAGCAAGUGGAAUGUACUGCCAAAAGGUGACUCCUCUGGGAGCAAAAUGAUGGGAAUCUAUACCACCAAAGUGAACUUGGGGACAUCUAGACUGGCUGUCACCAGAAAUGGGAGUCUUGAUACUUCCUGUCGAAUUACCUGGCUGCUUCCAUCAAGGAUAUGAUCUAUGAGAUUGUUAAAAUGAUAUGACAUCAUGCUUAGGGAAUAUGGAAGACUCAUUCAAAACUCCGUGUACAGAACUCUCCCAACAAUGUAUAAAGUCUUGAAUACAUGUCAUGGCAAAACCUUUCUUCAAUAGCCUUCCUCACCACUCUCCUUCUUAAAGCUCAGCAAAAAGAAAGUGCCAGAAGCCUAUUUAGCAUGAGCCCAUGAAAGAUGUUACUUAUCUCAGAACUGAGUUAAAGGAUAUUUGAUCUGUUUCUCUGAGCAGCCUGCCAUUAUCACAUACCCCACAUCAUGAGGAUUUUCUUUCUUCGGAGACUGAUUGAGGAAUGUUCUGGACCGGGGACAAUAGGUACAGAGGAGAGGAAGAGAGGCAUACAGAGAAACUUACAUUCAAGAAAGUAUAUUCAUGAAACCUAUAUUCAUCCAGAAACCUAUAUUCAUGAAACAGGGAGUGGAUGUGAAGCUAUGAGAACAGACAACUUGCCGAAGGGCAAAAGUGCCAAGAGAGAAACAAAGAGGUCUGGAAGCAAACACACAAUAUCUCUGAGGUCAAUUUGUCAUGCAUGGCUUAACAUGGAGCGAAGGAAGUUCUAAGUCAUGAGGCUGAGAUCUGGAGAAGCAGUGAGUGAAGAUCAGAUCUAAUAUGAGAGACAAGGAACAGUCACAGGAUAAACCAAGGAGACACUUUCGUAUCACCUCUGUGUUUACAACUAUGGGUCAAAUGGGAGAGGAAGUUGAGCUAAUGAGAUAACUAACAAGCUUUUAAAAAUAUUUGGAAGAAGCAGUAAGAGGAAUAUGAAACAUCCAUGCUCUGGAAUAGAUUUUAAUGAGAGGAUUAGUAAAAUGCCUCUACCUUCAUCUGAAAAGAGGGUUGAGAGAGGAAGACAGUCUCCUGUAACUUUCUCCACUUUUCUGAAAUAUUGUACACAGUGAGAUUUCAAGGAGAGGCUUCCAAAGAAAAUUGAAGUAUCCUGGAUACAGUGGGAAGAUCUCUGGACUGUAGAGGAUAUGAUAUCAAGAGGCAAACCACACUUUGCAGUUCAGUAGUUUACAAGAGGCAGAGCGGGUCAGAUGUGAAAAAAACACAAUGUAUACGACUUUCAAAAGAGGACAUGACCUGAGCAAAAGAAAUAAAUGAAGACCACAAAUAAAUAUUGAAAAGUGAUAGUGAAAGGAAAGUGUGAUCAAAGGGACUGAAGGAAAACUAAGAUAUCUGGACUAGCAUCAUUAGCAUCAACUGGACACUUAGAAUUGCAGUUUUGGAAUCCACCCCAGAUCUAAUGAAUCAGAAUAUCUGGAGGAGGAGCCCAGGAAUAUGCAUAUUAAAAAACUCUCCAGGACUCAGAAACUACAUCUAGCAAGUGGUAGAUGAGAAGCCUGAGAAAGGAUGAAGAACCCAACCACACCUCUUCUCCCAAAGGUGGCAGCCUGCCUCAACGGAAGUAGGGCAGGCUAAGGGAGGUAGGGCAGGGUCUUAAAUUAAAUUGAGAACUGCCAGUAUUACACGGGAUUGGAUAUGUUCACUGCUGAAUUGAAACUCCAAUUGCAACUUAAAGACCAAAGGCUUUUAUCCAGCGGGUGGAAAAAAAAUGUAACCUCACUGAAUACUUUUAAAGAAUGGGAGACAAUGGAAUGGAAGAGCCCAGAAAUAAACCCACAAUUAUAUGAUCAAUUAAUCUAUGACAAAGGAGGCAAGAAUAUACAAUGGGAAAAAGACAGUCUUUUCAACAAAUGGUGCUGGGAAAAUUGGACA